rnacentral:rRNA from 1 species
UCCUCCCUCUUUCUUCGUGCUUAACACAUGCAAGUCGAACGGAAAGGCCCUGCUUUUGUGGGGUGCUCGAGUGGCGAACGGGUGAGUAACACGUGAGUAACCUGCCCUUGACUUUGGGAUAACUUCAGGAAACUGGGGCUAAUACCGGAUAGGAGCUCCUGCUGCAUGGUGGGGGUUGGAAAGUUUCGGCGGUUGGGGAUGGACUCGCGGCUUAUCAGCUUGUUGGUGGGGUAGUGGCUUACCAAGGCUUUGACGGGUAGCCGGCCUGAGAGGGUGACCGGCCACAUUGGGACUGAGAUACGGCCCAGACUCCUACGGGAGGCAGCAGUGGGGAAUAUUGCACAAUGGGCGGAAGCCUGGUGCAGCAACGCCGCGUGCGGGAUGACGGCCUUCGGGUUGUAAACCGCUUUCGCCUGUGACGAAGCGUGAGUGACGGUAAUGGGUAAAGAAGCACCGGCUAACUACGUG